GGCUCAGUGGUAGAGCGCUUGCCUAGUAUGCAAGAGGCACUGGGUUCACUUCUCAG
rnacentral:tRNA from 1 species